AGAGGCUGGGAACACCAAGGGCAUGGCAGCAGCAUCUGGUGGGGUUCUGUGCUACAUUACCCCAUGGUGGAAGGGCAGAGGGCAGAGGGCAGAAGAGGAAAGGCAGAAGAGAAAGACAGCAUGGGAGACAGCAAGAAAAUGGAGGCCAAAACUUAUCCUUUUAUCAGGAAUCCACUCCCACAAGAUUGCACAGAGUUCUUGAUAUUGAAGAGUGAACCAUGUUCAAGGAAGAAGAGAUCACCCCAUAAAACCCUUCCAGCUUGUGUUACAAUCAGAUGCCUCUAAGAUGGACAAAAAAGGCACACAGAGAUAUUCCCUACUCAGGCUCUGGUCAAAUCUCUCUCCACUUAAUGGAGCAUGGCUUUCAACUGCACCUGGAGCAUGUUUGUAAACAAUGCCAUCAGGAAUAAAAGUGUUUGAAGCUGAAGCUGGGUCUUCCAUCCAAAUGUGGAAAGCGUGCCAGAGGACUGUCUUUCCCAUUCCCGCCCCACCUGCACAGCCAUAGACAAAGCUCAGCUCCGGGAUAAGAGGAAAAAGCACUGCCUGGACCUGUCCACCAGCAAGCGGACAUUGCUUUGCAUAAACAGGCAGAGGGGCAGGCACCUCAAGGGACUCGCAGAAGUGCCUGGGUAUUUUUAAAUACUUGAGGAGAACACAAGGAUGCCUGUCGGACAUCUCAGGAACUGCUAGCUCCAGGUGCAUGAACCUUUGAAGCUUUGGAGAAUCUGCUGGGCUAUGUGGAAGGUAAGAGCCCCAGCUUGCCUGAACCCUAGAGUGGGAGGUGAACAUGCCCAGAGAGGAGGACCCUGAAUGCUACAAACUACAAUCACUGCCCACAGUCAGAGAGCUUUAUCCCUGUCCCCAGGAAGAACCACAAUUGGUUUUCUUGUAAUCUU
ensembl:lncRNA LINC02250 long intergenic non-protein coding RNA 2250